rnacentral:tRNA from 1 species
CAAAAAGUAGUUUAGUGGAAAAACAUCAGCUUUGGGAGCUGGAGAGGGAGGUUUGACUCCUCCUUUUUUGA